GAAAAUAAUCAAAUUAAACCAGAAAAGUUUUUCCAAAUUCUGCAAUUUUCAUGGCGGAUGGCCGCAAUGGUAAAGCUGUUGCUUAUAAACUUGGAGGAUUCCGGGUUCAAACUGGAUCCCACACCUACAGUUUUUCAAGAGUGGUCCGGGCCGGGCCCGUUGAACCCCAUUCUUAACCAUCCGGAUGAUCCCAUCAUGGAUGUUGGGCAACCUGUAGUGGGUUCGGUUUUUGUGAUCAUAGGUUGUACACGAGUCUCUUGUAUUGGUAUAAAACAUGAUGCUGUUAAUCUUGCUCCCGAC
rnacentral:lncRNA from 1 species